ACUYCAGCACUAARGGGCGGAAACCCCCUAACACUUAGCACUCAUCGUUUAGCGGCGUGGACUACCAGGGUAUCUAAUCCUGUUUGCUCCCCACGCUUUCGCGCCUCAKUGUCAGUUACAGACCAGAAAGUCGCCUUCGCCACUGGUGUUCCUCCAUAUCUCUACGCAUUUCACCGCUACACAUGGAAUUCCACUUUCCUCUUCUGCACUCAAGUCUCCCAGUUUCCAAUGACCCUCCACGGUUGAGCCGUGGGCUUUCACAUCAGACUUAAGAAACCACCUGCGCGCGCUUUACGCCCAAUAAUUCCGGAUAACGCUUGCCACCUACGUAUUACCGCGGCUGCUGGCACGUAGUUAGCCGUGGCUUUCUGGUUAGGUACCGUCAAGGUGCCAGCUUWUUCAACUAGWCACUUGUUCUUCCCUAACAACAGAGUUUUACGWCCCGAAAGCCUUCAUCACUCACGCGGCGUUGCUCCGUCAGACUUUCSYCCAUUGCGGAAGAUUCCCUACUGCUGCCUCCCGUAGAGUUCUGGGCCGUGUCUCAGUCCCAGUGUGGCCGAUCACCCUCUCAGGUCGGCUACGCAUCGUCGCCUUGGUGAGCCGUUACCUCACCAACUAGCUAAUGCGACGCGGGUCCAUCCAUAAGUDACAGCCGAAGCCSCCUUUCAAUUUCGMWCUAUGCAGUUCAAAAUWUUAUYCKGUAUUAGC
rnacentral:rRNA from 1 species